rfam:Triticum aestivum genome assembly, contig: Triticum_aestivum_CS42_TGACv1_scaffold_050753_1BS
UGAAUACUCCCUCCGUCCGAAAAUACUUGUCGGAGGAAUGGAUAUAUCUAGAUGUAUUUUAGUUUCAGAUGCAUCCAUUUAUAUUCAUUUCUGUGACAAGUAUUUCCGGACGGAGGGAGUACCUG